rnacentral:misc_RNA from 1 species
GGGGUGUGGUGUUUGAGUAUUGGAUAGUGGUUGCGAGCAUCUAAAUGAAUGCGUUGCCGGCAACGGUUGCGUGUUCGUUUUGUGUAAUUUUAUUUCUUUUGGUUUU